rnacentral:rRNA from 1 species
UACGUAGGGGCAAGCGUUGUCCGGAAUCAUUGGGCGUAAAGCGCGUGUAGGCGGCCAGAAAAGUCCGCUGUGAAAACUCGAGGCUCAACCUCGAGCUGUCGGUGGAAACUUUCUGGCUAGAGUCCGGAAGAGGAGAAUGGGAAUUCCUGGUGUAGCGGUGAAAUGCGCAGAUAUCAGGAAGGAACACCCGUGGCGAAGGCGGUCUCUGGGCCGA